GACGAACGCUGGCGGCGUGCUUAACACAUGCAAGUCGAACGGAAAGGCCCCCUUGUGGGGUACUCGAGUGGCGAACGGGGGAGGAACACGUGAGUAACCUACCCGGGAGUGUGGGAUAACUUCAGGAAACUGGGGCUAAUACCGCAUAGGAGCUGCGGCUGCAUGGUGGGGGUUGGAGAGUUUCGGCGGUUGGGGAUGGACUCGCGGCUUAUCAGCUUGUUGGUGGGUUAGGGGCUCACCAAGGCUUUGUCGGGUAGCCGGCCUGAGAGGGUGACCGGCCACAUUGGGACUGAGAUACGGCCCAGACUCCUACGGGAGGCAGCAGUGGGGAAUAUUGCACAAUGGGCGGAAGCCUGAUGCAGCAACGCCGCGUGCGGGAUGACGGCCUUCGUGUUGUAAACCGCUUUCGCCUGUGACGAAGCGUGAGUGACGGUAAUGGGUAAAGAAGCACCGGCUAACUACGUG
rnacentral:rRNA from 1 species